rnacentral:lncRNA from 1 species
CACUCAGGCCAUAGAUUAAUCACAGAGGCAUGGGAACGUACACAUCUGGGUGUGUGAACAUAGGCACAUUUGCAAGUGUUUAGGGAAGUCACAUCUGUACACCAUCAGGAGUCAGUGCCUCACUUUGAAACCACUUCAGAAAUCCAUGAGUCUCUCUCACAAGGGUGGAGGACAAGCUGGGACCCCAGGGAAUGUGAUAUGGAAAGCUGACCAGAACUGCACAGAGACACCAAACAAACACACCCUGCAAAGCUGUGCCGGCCACGCUCACUCUGCAGUCACCUGAGUGCCACAGGAGGAUGAAGGAGAACCAUCUCUGGGGAAUCAAAUCACAAAUUCAUUCCACCACCCAGUACAACAGGUUCCAGCACCACAGCUAUGAAGCAAGAGGGAUAGCUGUGGUUUUAAAGCAGAUAUGAAAAGCAGAUUUUGUAACAUUAAUGCUUAGGUAACUAUGCAUGCUUCAGAGUGACAACAUGAAUGUCAAUCAAAA